GCCAUCCACAGCACCUGAGCCCCCCACACACCCUACACCCAUCCCUUCUUACCCCUGCUACAGCCGGCACUAAUCCUCUCCAUGGGCGGCGGGAAAAAAGCCCGUAACUCGGCAGUGGCGCCGAUCUUUAGGCAGAAGCCCGAGCAGACCCGGGCGCCAUCUUCGGAGGCCCCCCUUACGGACUCAGACUCUGAAAUGAGCAGCCACGCUCACUCGGAACGUACUGAAGCCCCCCUCACCAGGAACGAUAUGCGGGGCUUCCUGGCCGACUUUAAACAGUCCGUGGCUGAAGAACUUGAAAAAAGGCUAUGCCCCAUACUGGCAACCAUGUCGGAACUCUCAGCUCGAACACAGGCCACAGAAGACAAAAUGGCGGCCACUGAAGAAACGGUAUCAACACAGGGGACCGAGAUACAAACUCUCCGAGACCAAUUGCGCUCACUUGAAGACGCAAAUGAAGACCUGAACAACAGAACACGGCGGAACAACAUUAGAGUGAGGGGCAUUCCGGAAUCCGUCUCCACAGACCUACUCACCGACACUCUCACAGAGGUCUUCCAAACCCUGCUCCCAGAAGCUACAGCUGCCGACCUCCUUAUGGACCGGGCUCACAGAGCAUUGCGAGCUCCCAGUGCCAACAUGGCCACCCCCAGGGAUAUCAUCGUCAAACUACACUUUUACCACAUUAAAGAACGCAUUAUGAAAGCAGCCCGAGAUAGCCCCGUGGUGGUGGAGGGGGUUCCG